rnacentral:snRNA from 1 species
GGAUGUGAGGGCUAUCUGGCUGCGGCAUCUGUCACCCCAUUGAUUACCAAGGCUGAUUCAUCUGAUCUGGCUGGCUAGGCGGGUGUCCCCUUCCUCCCUCAUCGCUCCAUGUGCGUCCCUCCUGAAGCUGCUUGGUCUGUUGAAGAGGACGGCCUUUCCCAAUUGAGACUGGGCCUCCUUUCUUUCCU